AGGUGGGGCUGAUGACUGGGGUGAAGUCGUAACAAGGUAGCCGUACCGGAAGGUGCGGCUGGAUCACCUCCUAACAGGGAGACAAACAACGAUUUUGAUGCCUGAGUACUUUUAUUCUUAGGCCGAAAUCCUGUCACCUUAGGUCGAUCGGUACCUCAGCUUUGAAGUCAAGAAUGAGCAGCAAUGUUGAUUGCUUGAUGGAGAUUUUCAGUUCCUAAACUUUGUCUAGGUCACACCCCAAAAGGGAUGAGACUCCUGGGCCAUUAGCUCAGGUGGUUAGAGCGCACCCCUGAUAAGGGUGAGGUCCCUGGUUCAAGUCCAGGAUGGCCCAUUCGGUGUUGGGGGUUUAGCUCAGUUGGUAGAGCGCCUGCUUUGCAAGCAGGAUGUCAGGAGUUCGAGUCUCCUAACCUCCACUGACCGAACUUUAUCCCCAUCUCCAAGAUGAUGGAGUAUGAGCUCGAUUGGUGUGUGAUUUAGAUGUGUCCGCUGGAUGACCCCAGCUUCCUGUCAUUCCAAGUUUCAAAGUGAACGCUUUGAAUUUGGUUGAUAAGAUGCUGGGCUCGGAUCAAAUGAUCAAGCAAUUGAUGAUUUGAUUUGAAGUUCUAGCAGAACCUUGACAACUGCAUAGGUGAAGUCUGGAAAAAACAAAGCAUCUUACAGAUGCAUUGUUUUGAAUCUGAUCUUCUGAAAGGAGAUUGGAUCUAGAACAAUGAAAAUUCUUUUGAGCAAGAGCCGAGACUCUUGAGCGUUCUUUGAUUCGUGUCGAGCGAAUCAGAGUUUGAUCUUGUUUUUAGCAAUAAAAACUUGAGAAUCUGCUUUCAACGGCGGUAAGCGUUCAGGAGAUUAAUUGGUCAAGCUACAAAGGGCUCACGGC
rnacentral:misc_RNA from 1 species